UGGUUUUUCUACUCUUGUUGCCAGGAUGAU
rnacentral:piRNA from 1 species